UACGUAAGUCCCAAGCGUUACCCGGAAUUAUUGGGUGUAAAGGGUUCGUAGGUGGAUUUAUAAGUCAGGUAUAAAAGACCGAAGCUCAACUUCGUGUUUGUGCUUGAAACUGUUAAUCUAGAAUCAGGGAGAGGUAAGCGGAAUUCUUAGUGUAGGGGUGCAAUCCGUAGAUACUAAGAAGAACACCAAAAGCGAAGGCAGCUUACUGGAACUGUAUUGACACUGAUGGACGAAAGCGUGGGUAGCGAACAGG
rnacentral:rRNA from 1 species